UACGUAGGGAGCGAGCGUUAUCCGGAUUUAUUGGGUGUAAAGCGUGUGUAGGCGGUUUCUUAAGUCUGUGGUUUAAGUCUGGAGCUCAACUCCAGUUCGCCAUGGAAACUGAGUUACUUGAGUAUGGUAGAGGCAAGUGGAAUUUCUAGUGUAGCGGUGGAAUGCGUAGAUAUUAGAAGGAACACCAGUGGCGAAGGCGGCUUGCUGGGCCAUCACUGACGCUGAGACACGAAAGCGUGGGGAGCAAAUAGG
rnacentral:rRNA from 1 species